UGAGAGUUCACAAAAAGUUGCACGGGGGCAGAACCAGGACAGCCAAUCCAAACUGGCCAAAGAAAUGUCCCAUACUACAUGGCAUCAUGCUGAACAAUAGAACUAGGCUGGGGGGCGUAACACUGCUUGAGGACCGGCUGGGCAUCAGUUAGUGGGUGUGCAGGAGCCAAGACAAACUCUGAAGAUAUAAAGACAGGGAGGAAAACAGUGCAAAUUCAUAACAGUUUUGUGAAAAAUGAAUGCAAAGUAUUGGAUAAUGGGAUAACUUCACCUUUUCAUUACCAAGCUGAAGGCAGAAGUGAAACAGAAACUAGACCUUGCUACCACAGAGUGCUCUGUCAUCACCUACCAGCCACACUAACUUGGAAUAUCCUUAAAAAAGCUGGAAAUGCUACAGAGAAGUGUGUUGGAAUUAAAUCCUGGCAGAACUGGGGAUAACAGAAUAAAAUAUAUAGGAAGAGACCUUUAUGUUUUUUUUUCUUGUGGCUAGGGCAACAAGGAUCUAUGAGAAGUGCAUAUUGGGAUAUUUCACUAAGAUAGUCAUAAUAACUUAAAAUUUACUGCAGAGACAGAGAC